UAAAGGUUUCCGUCCGCUUGUUCUUUUCGUCCAGAUGGCUGUACUUGCAAUAAUGUUACGGAAAUGUUUAAUUAUAUUAUCGAUUCAAGUAGCUCAGUCUCCCUGAAACUGCGACUUGGUGUAUUAAAUUAGGUAGUACGUUAUUUGUUUCGUGAAGAAAUGGCGCGUUCGGAGAAGAGUAAUUUGGAUGUGUUCGUUCGUCACAACGGUCAACAACUCGCCUUCAUGUUUCUACAGGAGACCAUGUUGGUGGAUGGGACUUGAACUGGACCAUUGAUCUAGGCUUCUCACCUGACCUGGGGUGUGAUGUUGCAGGUAUGCUGUGUGAGUGGAAACUUGAACACAUCAGCUCACAGUAUGGGACUAGGGGCUCAUGAGAGGUGGAUGACCCAUUUGCUGUGUGAAAUGAAGACAUUUGGACAUGCUGGUGUCACCUGAUCCUGGACAUUGAGGCCUGCACCUUUGUUGGUGACACAAAGAAACAGCAUGGCCUGUAGAGGUUAACAGAGAACUGAAGGUUGACCUAGGCUUGUCAGGAGCCAUGAUGUUGCUUCAUUGCAGGUUUUCUCUUGCUGUUUCUGAAAUAAUCAGUCUGGAGAAGAAUAACAAGAUGGCAUUUCUAAUUACUCCUCAUGUAGAAUAUUGUUAAAUGCCCCCAUAGUUCAACUGAAUGUGAAUAUAUUUUCCUGAAGGUGGCAGUUGAGCAAAAUCUCCUGUAAUUCAAAAUCAUAAGGUUGUUGGUCAUUGCCUGUCUUAACUUUAAAAGUUGUUUCUGCUGUUGUAAGUGAUCUUGACUGUUCUGUCAAAUUUCCAGCUGUAUGUAAAUGAGUCUAAAUUUCAAUGGCUUUUCCAACUGUUACAGGAAUGUAAAGACCUUGAAAUGGAAGGGCUGUUCACUACAUGGUCACAAUUGUAUCAACCAGUGAUGCCUUUUGAAAA